rnacentral:lncRNA from 1 species
AGACAGUCCAAGGAGAGCGUGGGAGGACCGGCUAACGGAAGAAGGCAGCAAGACCCUAGAGAAAACAUAAGCCAUGGAGAAACUAAUGGAUUCCCCUGCUAAAAUUUCACUUUGAAAGUAAAGAUAAAAUGAAGACAUAGCAUGAAGGCACUCUCAAAGAAAUAAAAAUAUCCACAGACGGACAUAUAUCUAACUGAUAAAUGGUGUGAUAUUUCAUCGUUGCUCCUGUUGAAAGUCUCAAGAUCUCAGCAGAACAAUUUUCCAAGUCAGAGUCACCCUGUCGCGAGUGAUGUGAAUUUGGUUGGGAAUACAAGGAGAGUUGAAGGUGGGUAUCAGAAGCGUUCAAGAGAGGAGCCUAGAGCAGACUUCAGAACUCCAAGCCAGACUCCUAUGACAUUUCCCUACAGCUGAGGAGGAGAAGGAGCAAGAUAGGAGGAGAGGAAAGAAGAGGAGGAGGAACAGAGCAAACAUAUGCAUGCCUAUAAGUAAAUCUAACCAAUCAGCAGUCAAGUGCAGUCCUUUUUGAAAUUGCAGAAGUCUCUCAAGCAUAUAAUUUGUGGCUUCCAGUGAGUUUGAACUUCAUGCUUGAAGUGAUGCACUAGUAGGUGAUUUAAUUCGUGCACCUGUGUCUGGAUUUCUUCCAGACACAAUGAAACGGGUAACUACUUCAGGAUUUACCUAAUAAGGAUUGCAGCGAGACAUCAGAAAGGCACUGAUUGGCAUAUGUGGGCAGGAAAAGGAACAACGAGCUUCCAGUAGAGCUGUGAUAGACACCUGGGUUCAGCCCUUGAGACAAAAACUGAGCAUUUCUCAGCUCCCAAGGCCAAGCCCUUUGGCUUCAAUGAUGUACAAUUUUCUCAUUACAAAUACUAUUGUACCCAAAGGAAU